AAUGAACGCUGGCGGCGUGCUUAAGACAUGCAAGUCGUACGCGAAAACCCGCAAGGGUUAGUAGAGUGGCGCACGGGUGAGUAAUAUUUAGGUAACGUCCCUUCCUGCUGUGGAUAACCAGACGAAAGUUUGGCUAAUACAGAAUAGUCCCUUCGAAACUACGGUUUUGACGGGUAAAGCCGUAAGGCGCGGGAAGACCGACCUAAAUCCCAUUAGCUAGUUGGUAGGGUAAUGGCCUACCAAGGCUACGAUGGGUAGCUGGUCUGAGAGGAUGAUCAGCCACACUGGAACUGGAACACGGUCCAGACUCCUACGGGAGGCAGCAGUUAGGAAUUUUGCGCAAUGGCCGAAAGGCUGACGCAGCAACGCCGCGUGAGGGAUGAAGGCUUUCGGGUCGUAAACCUCUUUUAGACGUGAAGAAAAAAAUGACGGUAG
rnacentral:rRNA from 1 species